CUAGACAACCAUAUCAUCCUAAAUGUGCUUGAUUUCCUCUAACAUCAGAAGCUAAGCAGGAUCAGGCCUGGUAAAUAUUUGGA
rnacentral:rRNA from 14 species